rnacentral:rRNA from 1 species
GACGAACGCUGGCGGCGUGCUUAACACAUGCAAGUCGAACGGAAAGGCCCCCUUGUGGGGUACUCGAGUGGCGAACGGGUGAGUAACACGUGAGUAACCUACCCUUGACUUUGGGAUAACUUCAGGAAACUGGGGCUAAUACCGGAUAGGAGCUCCUGCUGCAUGGUGGGGGUUGGAAAGUUUCGGCGGUUGGGGAUGGACUCGCGGCUUAUCAGCUUGUUGGUGGGGUAGUGGCUCACCAAGGCUUUGGCGGGUAGCCGGCCUGAGAGGGUGACCGGCCACAUUGGGACUGAGAUACGGCCCAGACUCCUACGGGAGGCAGCAGUGGGGAAUAUUGCACAAUGGGCGGAAGCCUGAUGCAGCAACGCCGCGUGCGGGAUGACGGCCUUCGGGUUGUAAACCGCUUUCGCCUGUGACGAAGCGUGAGUGACGGUAAUGGGUAAAGAAGCACCGGCUAACUACGUG